CGGGUUUUUUGGGUUUAUAUGUAUAUAUUUUUAACCUUUCUAGAUUACCCCUUUCCUUGUUCUUCUGCCAGAGAGAAUAGGCUUUCCUUUGGGUUUUUUUUUUUUUUUCAUCUAUGACCAUUGAUGCUGGUGGGGUACCACUUCUCCAGUCUCCAGUCUGGGAUAUAUGAUGUGCAAAGAAACCUCAGGGAACUCACCACCUAUGUUCUUCAGAUCCCAAGGUCCCCUGACCUGCCUUCCUUUUACCACCUUUCAGAUCUUCUUAUGUUUGUUUUUAGCUUAGUUGUUUUUACUUGAACUUCGCAGGAGGAGUGGGGAGAAGUAUGUCUGCUCCAUCCUCCUGGAAACAGAAACCCCAGCAGAAUGCAGAGCCAUUGCUGAGUGCUGCAAAGGGCAAGACACAUUUAGAAAGAUGCAAACAUACUUCAGAAAAACUUCUUAAAAAGAAUUACAAGUCCUUUCAAAUCUAAA